rnacentral:lncRNA from 1 species
UAAAAGCAAUCUGAAAACAUGUGAUACGUAGUUCAUUCACAAUAUAGAUUUCAAUAAAAUCAAUCUGAAAACAAGUGUAUACAUAGUUCACUGAGGAUAACUUCGAAUGUCAAAUGCAUACAAUUCCAAAGACGGACUCCAACCCAAAUCAAUAGCCAAGACUAACGGACUUUGAACUAAACCAAGUCCGCAACCAAGGUCAUGUACAAUGCAAGAUGUUUAGAAAAAUAAACAGACUUUACCUUAAGCAUCGGUGCUUAUUUGUGGGGAGCAAAGGUGUCUAGAAAAAUAAACCGGCUUUACCUUAGGCACCGGCACUUAUUUGUAGAGAGCAGAUGCUUAACUACACAAACCGGCUUUACCUUAGGCACCAGCACUUAUUUGUAGAGAGCACAUGCUUAACUACACACCCCAGCUAUAGAUAUAAGCACUGGUGUUUCCACAAAAUACGGAUUGUCCCCAGCACUAUGAUAUAAGCACUGAUGCUUCCACAAAAAUUGGAUUAUUUAACGAAACACCUCUGUAAGCAGCUUGCAUUGUUGUAAAUAAGGGCCAUCUUUUCCUUAUCUUCUACUAUUACCAUUAUUUAAAAUAUGUAAUGUAAUUCAUUACAAGUGGGUGAGAUACUAUCUUCUCUUAAAUACUAUAGUUUUUUCUUUGAAAAAUGAACUCCAAAUGGAAAUCUUUAGAUUGACGAAGUGACCAUGGACACAUCGUACUUAACAGGUACACCAUACUGCUAAAAAAUGAAAACAC